rnacentral:rRNA from 1 species
GAUGAACGCUGGCGGCGUGCCUAAUACAUGCAAGUCGAGCGAACAGACGCGGAGCUUGCUCCUCUGACGUUAGCGGCGGACGGGUGAGUAACACGUGGAUAACCUACCUAUAAGACUGGGAUAACUUCGGGAAACCGGAGCUAAUCCGGGAUAAUAUAUUGAACCGCAUGGUUCAAUAGUGAAAGACGGUUUUGCUGUCACUUAUAGAUGGAUCCGCGCCGCAUUAGCUAGUUGGUAAGGUAACGGCUUACCACGGCGACGAUGCGUAGCCGACCGGAGAGGUGGAUAGGCCGCACGGGAACUGGGACGCGGUCCAGGGUCCUACGGGAGGCAGCAGUAGGGAAUCGGCGGCAAUGGGGGAGAGCCUGACGGAGCAGGGCCGCGUGAGUGAUGGAGGUCUUCGGAGCGUAAUACUCUGUUAUUGGGUGAGAACAAAUGUGUAAGUAGCUAUGCACGUAUUGACGGUACCUAGUCAGAAAGCCACGGCUAACUACGUG